rnacentral:rRNA from 1 species
CGCCUGGUAAAAUUAUACCAGGUAGAUUCUGCCCAAUGAACUUUAAAUGGCCGCAGUAUCCUGACUGUGCUAAGGUAGCAUAAUAAUUUGCCUCUUAAUUGGAGGCUAGAAUGAAUGAACUGACGAAGAGCUUUCUGUCUCAGAAGCUUACAGAAAAUUUAUAUUCAGGUAAAAAAUCCUGAAAGUUGUAGGGGGACGAUAAGACCCUAAAAGCUUUACCCUUAAACUCUAAAGCAGUAAAAAAUUAUUUAGAUUUAUUGGGUUUUCACUGGGGCGGUGACUUUACCUAACUAAAGCCAUUCAAAUACUUUGAGUAAAACUAAUUACCUUAAUUUAAAUCUACAGAAUAAGUUACUUUAGGGAUAACAGCGCAAUUUUCUGAAAGAGCCCAUAUCGACCAGAAAGAUUACGACCUCGAUGUUGAAUUGAAGCCUUAGCUAAAGCAGCAUUUAGCUUUAAGAAGACUGUUCGUCUUUUAAACCUUC